UAUCUGUCAAAAUUUGAUUGAUUUAUGACCCCUUUGACAGGGGGCGGGACUAUCAAUCAAAAGGUGUACAAUCUGUCUAGGUUUGAGAAUCGUAUAUCAAGGGCUUUAGACAGCGAGUAUCCUGUGCGUGUUUUACGAUGUGUCAAUCAGCUCGUUGUUAUUCCUGUGUGUGUGUGUGUGUUUUAUGUCAAGCCUAUGCUGUCAUGUUUAUUGCUGUCAAAAAUAAAGUUUAUAGUUUUAGACUGCGUAGUUUCACAAGCGGCCCUGUGCUGUCAGCGAUCUCUCUCUCUCUCUCUCUCUCGCCCCCACUGCGCGUCUCGCCCCAGCGCGUCACACAGCGAUGUGUGUUGUUGAAUCUAAAGUUUUGUAACAUCAAAAGUUUCUUUAAAGUCGUGCAAGAAUCAAAUAUAUAUAUAUAUUAGAUGUAUCUGGUUAAACUUAAAGCCGAUAUUUUCUAUCGAACUAUUUUCUUUAGUUUCUGAUCAGACACAAUGUUUCUGAUGCUGAUAUUAUAUCAGUGUGUUUGUGUGGGGGUCGUGUGAUGUAAUCUUUGAAAGUUUAUGACCGAACCUUUAUUGGGGAGCGACAAGAGAUCUCCGGGAUCAGUUUGGAUGGAGCAGUGCUGGUAUACUCAAACCUGGUGCGAAAUUGUCUAAACUGGUGUUAACUAUUCCUGGUAAAUCGCUGAGAAGAGUGGAAUGAACAAAAAAAAGACUGAUCAAACAGGCCGGUACCUUGGAACCUCCCGCUGCGUAGGACAAAGAGACGCCGAGUGACUCGUGCCGACCGUUUGGAUAUCGACGGCAAAGUUUGGAUAUCGUUGCAAGAUCUAGAGCGGAUCUCCACGGCUAGGAUACAGACCACAACGCUUUGGACGUGUCUUUAAAAAAGAGAAAAAUCAGAGACUUUGUGGACUUGUCUGGGACAUUUUAAACAUUUUGUGACAUAUUGGAUUUAAAACAUUUCGGAUACUGGAGAUUCAUG